UCCCCGCUUCUCCUCCCUGAGCGGGUGCCUGUCGUUAUUCGAUUAGGCUGUUUGACCCGCCGUUCA
rnacentral:ncRNA from 1 species